rnacentral:rRNA from 1 species
GAUGAACGCUAGCGGCAGGCCUAAUACAUGCGAGUCGAGGGAGCAUGUUAGAUUCGUCUGACAUGAAACCGGCGCACGGGUGCGUAACACGUCUGCAACCUACCUUUAACUGGGGUAUAGCUCAGAGAAAUCUGAAUUAAUCCCCCAUAAGACUACGACAUGGCAUCAUGAUGUAUUUAAAGCUCCGGCGCUUAAGGAUGGGCAUGCGGUACAUUAGAUAGUUGGUGAGGUAAUGGCUCACCAAGGCUACGAGGUAUAGGGGGUCUGAGAGGAUGAUCCCCCACACUGGUACUGAGACACGGACCUGACUCCUACGGGAGGCAGCAGUAGGGAAUAUUGGUCAAUGGACGCAAGUCUGAACCAGCCAUGCCGCGUGAAGGAUGAAGGCCCUAUGGGUCGUAAACUUCUUUUAUUAGGGAAGAAAAAACGGGAUGCGUCCUGUACUGACGGUACUUAAUGAAUAAGGAUCGGCUAACUUCGUGCCAGCCGCCGCGGUAA